rnacentral:lncRNA from 1 species
CUGCAGGAAAGAGUUCACAUUACAAUCCAUCUCCUGUAUCUUUCUUUAUGCAACAGCUUUCUUGCAAACAAUCAUACUCCAGAUGCAUUCUCGCCUUGACAGCCUGAGGUUGCUUCUUAUGAUGGAAAUGCGUUUCCCUACCCUGGGCUUGUCCAGGUUGCAGCUGACAUCAGAUGACCAUCAGCAUCACCUCUCAUGUGGUUCAGUCUCAGCUUAUUCCUGGGAUGUGCCAACACACAAUCUAGGGAAGAGACAAGGAACUGCCCAAUUACCUUGUAAAACCAGGAUCCUGCUGACUGCAUCAGUCAGCAUGGAGAGACCCUGCUGCGGACCCAAACUCGGUUUGUUGAGCACGAUUGACCCAUGUGGUGAAGGUAACACAUUCUGCGUUUGAACAAUGCCGUGUUCAGAGACAUGCAUAAACACUUUACUGCUGGCCAUUAAAUUUUAUUGCUCUCUCUAAUAUGCUUUGAGGUAACUAAACUCGUGCCUGAAAGAGGCAUUUAAACUGUUUUAACAGUAUCUACUUCACAUAAUCUUCUUUAUGGCACCAUCUUAUGGUUUUACCCAUUUUAAAUGUGUUUGUUGUUGUUUUUCAAUCAAGGGAUUUAUACUAUGACCUUUGAGCAACAGCAGCCCCUGCGAGAAGACAGCUGGCAAUGCGGUGUGCUGUACAAUCUGUGGAGAUUAAAUUCAUUUCAGUCCCUCUUAAGACAGAUGACUGGGAGGCUGGUGGAUCUGCUGGGAUUUUGGUGGAUUGAAUUCCUUUUUAUUUCAAGAGGGGAGCUGAAACAAAGAAAUAAUAGGCAUAUUUUUGCUCAGUGGAUUAAGCCCUGCCCUGAAUUGCUUCUCCAGCCUGGAUAAGAGUAGAUAGUGGUAUUCUUGUACCAAAUCCAUGGAGUAGGCAUUAGAAAGGGUAUGUAUGCGCAUGGUGAGGAACAGUACUUUUGUUCUGAUGAGCUCAAUGUGCUCCCUCCUCAUGGACUGAGUUGCUCAGGAAGGUUAAUAACUGCCCAAACAACUUGAGCUUCUGCCUCACUGCCUGGCCCU